AGUUCGGAGCGUCCGGAGUUAAACACAUAAAAAUAAAAUUCUAAAUUUCUAAAUUUUGAGAAAUAUUUAUUUCGGUUUUUUUUUCAAUUAGGUUUAAGCAUAAAGUGAUUCUUUUUUUAUACAAAAAGCAUAAAAAAAAAAAACAAAAAAUGAAUUUAAAAAAAAAAAAAAAAAAAUCAAAAUUUUGACCAUUUGAAACAUUUCAGUUGAUUUUGCCAUCUCUACGUAGAUCAGAACGGAGCUCAGGGUCGGCGAUUGCGCUCGUACACAGAGGUACACACACGUAAUUCUUUCGGUUUGCGGUACAUCGAACACAGUUACACCACGCUUCCUGGGGAGGCAUGGAUUCCGAAGGACAUCGGAAAUUAAAAACUAUUCGCAAUCCAAUAGAUGCACAUUUUUCGUCAAUGAAUGGGUACACUUGGAAGUCUUUGCAGUAACUGAUUGUUAUUUAUUUUGAUACUAAAAAUGAUUAUAUUUUGAUACUAAAAAUUAUUAUAUUUUGAUACUAAAAAUGAUUAUAUUUUGAUACUAGAAUACACAAA